rnacentral:rRNA from 1 species
UACGAAGGGGGCUAGCGUUGCUCGGAAUUACUGGGCGUAAAGGGCGCGUAGGCGGCCCGCUUAGUCAGGCGUGAAAUUCCUGGGCUUAACCUGGGGACUGCGCUUGAGACGGGUGGGCUUGAGGGCAGGAGAGGCUCGCGGAAUUCCCAGUGUAGAGGUGAAAUUCGUAGAUAUUGGGAAGAACACCGGUGGCGAAGGCGGCGAGCUGGCCUGUGACUGACGCUGAGGCGCGACAGCGUGGGGGAGCAAACAGG